rnacentral:rRNA from 1 species
UACAGAGGCCCCAAGCGUUACUGAGAAUCACUGGGUUUAAAGGGUGCGUAGGUGGUCCGUUAAGUUCGUUGUGAAAGCCCUGGGCUCAACCCAGGAACUGCUUCGAUUACUGGCGGACUUGAGGCUAGUAGGGGUUACUGGAACUGACGGUGGAGCGGUGAAAUGCGUAGAUAUCGUCAGGAACGCCAAUGGUGAAGACAGGUAACUGGGCUAGUUCUGACACUGAGGCACGAAAGCGUGGGGAGCAAACAGG